rnacentral:rRNA from 1 species
GACGAACGCUGGCGGCGUGCUUAACACAUGCAAGUCGAACGGAAAGGCCCUGCUUUUGUGGGGUGCUCGAGUGGCGAACGGGUGAGUAACACGUGAGUAACCUGCCCUUGACUUUGGGAUAACUUCAGGAAACUGGGGCUAAUACCGGAUAGGAGCUCCUGCUGCAUGGUGGGGGUUGGAAAGUUUCGGCGGUUGGGGAUGGACUCGCGGCUUAUCAGCUUGUUGGUGGGGUAGUGGCUUACCCAGGCUUUGACGGGUAGCCGGCAUGAGAGGGUGACCGGCCACAUGGGGACUGAGAUACGGACCAGACGCGUACGGGAGGCAGCAGUGGGGAAUAUUGCACAAUGGGCGGAAGCCUGAUGCAGAAACGCCGCGUGCGGGAUGACGGCCUUCGGGUUGUAAACCGCUUUCGCCUGUGACGAAGCGUGAGUGACGGUAAUGGGUAAAGAAGCACCGGCUAACUACGUG